CCAUCUCCUCGCUCUCCGGCACCAUCACUUGCGACGCCGAGCUGAUCUCGUAGAUGGGCUUCUCAACCCCCUCGACCGGGUCAGCGCCGACGAUAAGCGCCGCCGAGCCGUCGCCGAAAAGGGCCUGGCCGAUGAGGUUCUCGAAGUGGUCGUCGUCGGGGCCACGGAAGAACAUGACGUUCACUUCGGAGGAGACCACCAACGCGCGGGCGCCCUUGUUGUUCUCGACGAGGUCCUUGGCCAACCGGAGCGCCGAGGCGCCGGCGUGGCAGCCCACGUUGUAGAGCAUCACGCGGCGGACGGAGGUGGGGAGGCCGAGCUUCUGGACCAGGCGGUAGUCGACGCCCGGGAGGUCCAACCCGGCGGCGGAGCAGAAGACCA
rnacentral:lncRNA from 1 species